rnacentral:rRNA from 1 species
UCUGGUUGAUCCUGCCAGUAGUUAUAUGCUUGUCUCAAGAUUAGCCAUGCAUGUCUAAGUAACACGAAUUAAAGUGAACCGCAAAAGGCUCAUUAUAUCAGUUAUGGUUCUUAGAUCGUUAACAGUUACUUGGAUAACUGUGGUAAUUCUAGAGCUAAUACAUGCAAUUAAACAUGAACCUUAUGGGAAUGUGCUUUUAUUAGGCUAAACCAAGCGAUCGCAAGAUGUUAUAUUGGUUGAACUCUAGAUAACAUGCAGAUCGUAUGGUCUUGUACCGACGACAGAUCUUUCAAAUGUCUGCCCUAUCAACUUUUGAUGGUAGUAUCUAGGACUACCAUGGUUGCAACGGGUAACGGGGAAUCAGGGUUCGAUUCCGGAGAGGGAGCCUGAGAAACGGCUACCACAUCUAAGGAAGGCAGCAGGCGCGUAAAUUACCCAUCCAGCUCGGGAGGUAGUGACGAAAAUAACAAUACAGGACUCAUAUCCGAGGCCUGUAAUUGGAAUGAGUACACUUUAAAUCCUUUAACAAGGACAAUUGGAGGGCAAGUCUGGUGCCAGCAGCCGCGGUAAUUCCAGCUCCAAUAGCGUAUAUUAAAGUUGUUGCGGUUAAAACGUUCGUAGUUGAACUUGUGCUUCAUACGGGUAGUAAACUUACAUUGUGGUUAGUAUAUACCUUUAUGUAUGUAAGCGUAUUACGGUGGAGUUUUAUAUGUGAUUAAAUACUUGUAUUUUUUCAUAUGUUCUCCUAUUUAAAAACUGCAUUAGUGCUCUUAAACGAGUGUUAUUGUGGGCCGGUACUAUUACUUUGAACAAUUAGAGUGCUUAAAGAGGCUUCAAAUGCCUGAAUAUUCUGUGCAUGGGAUAAUGAAAUAAGACCUCUGUUCUGCUUUCAUUGGUUUUCAGAUCAAGAGGUAAUGAUUAAUAGAAGCAGUUUGGGGCAUUAGUAUUACGACGCGAGAGGUGAAAUUCUUGGACCGUCGUAGACUAACUUAGCGAAAGCAUUUGCCAAAGAUGUUUUCAUUAAUCAAGAACGAAAGUUAGAGGUUCGAAGGCGAUCAGAUACCGCCUAGUUCUAACCAUAAACGAUGCAGCUAGCAAUUGGGUGUAGCUACUUUUAUGGCUCUCUCAGUCGCUUCCGGGAAACCAAAGCUUUUGGGCUCCGGGGGAAGUAUGGUUGCAAAGCUGAAACUUAAAGGAAUUGACGGAAGGGCACCACCAGGAGUGGAGCCUGCGGCUUAAUUUGACUCAACACGGGAAACUUACCAGGUCGAAAUAAGUGUGUAAGACAGAUUGAUAGCUCUUUCUCGAAUCUAUGGGUGGUGGUGCAUGGCGUUCUUAGUUCGUGGAGUGAUUUGUCUGGUUAAUUCCGAUAACGAACGAGACUCAAUAUAUUAAAUAGAUAUCUUCAGGAUUAUGGUGCUGAAGCUUAUGUAGCCUUCAUUCAUGUUGGCAGUAAAAUGCUUAUUGUGUUUGAAUGUGUUUAUGUAAGUGGAGCCGUACUGUUGGUUUGUCCAUUAUAAGGACACUAGCUUCUUAAAUGGACAAUUGCGUCUAGCAAUAAUGAGAUUGAGCAAUAACAGGUCUGUGAUGCCCUUAGAUGUCCUGGGCUGCACGCGCGCUACAAUGAAAGUAUCAACGUGUAUUUCCUAGACCGAGAGGUCCGGGUAACCGCUGAACCACUUUCAUGCUUGGGAUUGUGAACUGAAACUGUUCACAUGAACUUGGAAUUCCCAGUAAGUGUGAGUCAUUAACUCGCAUUGAUUACGUCCCUGCCCUUUGUACACACCGCCGUCGCUACUACCGAUUGAAUUAUUUAGUGAGGUCUCCGGACGUGAUCACUGUGACGCCUUGCGUGUUACGGUUGUUUCGCAAAGUUGACCGAACUUGAUUAUUUAGAGGAAGUAAAGUCGUAACAAGGUUUCCGUAGGUGAACCUGCGGAAG